AUGCAUGAGCUCCACAGGAGCAAUUUCAACUCUUUUGGUUGCCUUAAUUCCUCCAUCAUCACUUUGCUGCCCAAGAAAGAGUGCUCCCUACAAGUGGUUGAUUUUACGCCGAUCAACUUAAUUCAUGGGGCUGCUAAAAUCUUUGCUAAAGUCUUGGUUGUGCGUCUUGCCCCCCUGCUACCAACUCUCAUCUCACAAGCCCAGAGUGCGUUCACCACCCAGAGGAGCAUACAUGAGAACUUUAAAUUUGUUCGCAACGCGGCCAGACUACUACAUCGAAAGAAGUCCCCGGCUAUACUUAUGAAGCUGGAUAUUUCCAAAGCUUUUGAUACUUUGUCAUGGGAAAUUCAUCAUACAUAUUCAGACAAGGCGAGGCUUUGGCAGACGCUGGUGUUCUUGGGUUUGUGGUCUACUCCGAACAGCGUCGUCAUCAGUGUUGGUCAAUGGUGA
rnacentral:rRNA from 1 species